rnacentral:rRNA from 1 species
GAUGAACGCUGGCGGCGUGCCUAAUACAUGCAAGUCGAGCGAACAGACGAGGAGCUUGCUCCUCUGACGUUAGCGGCGGACGGGUGAGUAACACGUGGAUAACCUCCCUAUAAGACUGGGAUAACUUCGGGAAACCGGAGCUAAUACCGGAUAAUAUAUUGAACCGCAUGGUUCAAUAGUGAAAUACGGUUUUGCUGUCACUUAUAGAUGGAUCCGCGCCGCAUUAGCUAGUUGGUAAGGUAACGGCUUACCAAGGCAACGAUGCGUAGCCGACCUGAGAGGGUGAUCGGCCACACUGGAACUGAGACACGGUCCAGACUCCUACGGGAGGCAGCAGUAGGGAAUCUUCCGCAAUGGGCGAAAGCCUGACGGAGCAACGCCGCGUGAGUGAUGAAGGUCUUCGGAUCGUAAAACUCUGUUAUUAGGGAAGAACAAAUGUGUAAGUAACUAUGCACGUCUUGACGGUACCUAAUCAGAAAGCCACGGCUAACUACGUG